ACCAGCAUGGCACAUGUAUACAUAUGUAACUAACCUGCACAAUGUGCACAUGUACCCUAAAACUUAGAGUAUAAAAAAAAAAAAAAAAAGAGUCAGAAAAGCACUGGUUAGAGAAAAGAAAAAAUAGUUUUUAACGCAAAGAUGGAAUUCCAGUUCCAGGCAAAUGGAAUACACCCAUUUCUCCCUAUUCCUCCUGCUAAACACAGCUAAACCCCCUAGAUAUUAUAUGUAAAACAAACCUAAGAAGGUUCUGAACAGUGGAAAGAAGGAGGAAGACAGACUAGGGAAUUGGGACUUGAAGAAAAACAUGGUGGUGAAUUCUGUGGGAUUUUUCUUGGCUUCCUGUAUAUCCUGAUCUUGAUAUUGAGAAACAUCAAUGAGCACAGAUGAAAAAGUUCUAAGAAAAGCCUGCUGUCUCCUUCAAAAGGACUGGCUCCUGCGGCAGAUGCGGCUUCUGCAGCACCAGACUGCUGACAGUUUAGUAUGGAUGGCUUCUUCUUCUGAAAUGGGCUCCACACCUUGUGGCCUGAAACUUCCCUCAGCACCCUGUUAGAUGGUUUUCUAGUGGCGUGCUUCCAGUGAGACGCUUUCCCAUAAAAAGCUUCCUCUGGCACCUUAGAGGGUGGAAUUCCAGCAAGUUCUGCCAGUGCAGCACCGUAGUGACUUCUCUGCUGUUCUGUGAGCCACAGCCGUGCUAUCUUAAUUUCCAGUGCAGUCCUGGAAUCUCUUCCUGGAGCACUUUAUCUUGGCCUUGAAAAUAAUGCAUGCUCCUUACAUCUGCUAUUGCUGUAUUAUUUUCAAGUUCUCUUUACUAUUACUAACCAAUCUGAUAUUUCUCUAUUGCUCUGUUAUAGUUAAAAAAUCUCUGUGUAAAAUAUUCUCUGUCCAAAUCACUGUGUGAUUUCUCUCUCCAAACAGGACCCCGACUGAUACAUAAUGCACAAAUCAGCAGUUCUUGGUUUAAUGAAAUAAUGGUGAUAUCAAAUUCUGCAAACCUGAGAGACAGACUUUGGGCAAAUUCAAAAAAUUAAAUAGCACCUGCUGGGAAACUUUGCAGACAGAUGAUGCACUCAUCCCGUGGAGCAUUAGACCAUUUUCAUUUCGUUUUGAUCUUCUCUACUCUUUUUUAUAGGACUGUCUUCAGUCCUAUAGUUUAUAGGACUAACUCAUUUGUGGGAAGGGAGAAAGAGAUAUGCCAAGUUCAAUCAUGUAGGUCAAUCUAAAAUUAUAGCAAAUUGUUCUUAAAAAUAGUAAUUUUGCUUAUAAUUAAACAAUAUGCUUAUAUUGUUAUCCAAUAGAAUUGUAUUUUAUUACUUAAUGUAAACAUGUGUUUGUAGAAACAAAACAAAGACCCGUUUUUCUAAAAAUAAAUAAUAGAAAUCUUUCACAAAUUGCACUAUAAUUAGUCACACUCCAAGGAAAUAUAAUAUAGCUCCACUCCAAGAUUUGUAUUUUCUUCUUUUUGUAUCAUACACAAAAUAUAUUUCAUCCUAGUGACACCAAGCUAGAUAUAUUUGUACUUGGAAAUUAAAUACAAUUCCAAAAAUAAACAUUUCUAAAUUUAUUGACUUCCACUCUCUGAUCUGUAUGUUAUUCAUAUAGACUAAGAAAGCAUGAGUAGUUCAUCAGAAUAUAUUUUUUUCCUCUGAAAGUUCUCGACUUUCAAAAAACAGGAGCUAUGAGACACUUUUAUUAAUAGACAUGAGAUUGCUACUGAAGUCGAUGUUUGUAAAUACACUGCAUAGCCAUAUAGGCAUAAUUAAGUUAUACAUUGCUAAAGUAAUAUUUUAAAGCUUUAAGUUCUUUUAAUUACUGAUUAUUAUCUUAUGCAAGAAAUACGUUAAAAAAGGUAAUAGAUUCCAAAUUUUAAUUGAGACCACAGAAUGAAAGCCACCAAAAGAUCUUUCAAUCUGUCAUAAGAUUUCACAAAGAAACUCACAUUUUGUGAUAUAUAUUAGGCAGGACAAGUUAAGCUACAGUGAGGGAAGAGAGAGACCCUCUCAUAUUGUUUUAUACUCAGUACCUGUUUUAAGAAAAAAACAGGGAAGUAAAACCAAAGACAGGCAGCCCGGCGCCAGGCCCGAAACCAGGCCUGGGCCUGCCUGGCCUAAACCCAGUAGUUAGAAAUCAACUCAUAACUUAGAAACCGACGUUUUUCAUAGAUUCCAGACAUUGUAUAGAAGAACACUGUGAAACUCCCUGCCCUGUUCUGUUUCUCUCUGACCGCCAGUGCAUGCAGCCCCUGUCAUGUACCCCUUGCUUGCUCAAAUCAAUCACGACCCUUUCAUGUCAAAUCCUUAGUGUUGUGAGCCCUUAAAAAGGACAGAAAUUGUGCAUUUGGGGAGCUCGGAUUUUAAGACAGUAGCUUGCCGAUGUUCCCAGCUGAAUAAAGCCCUUCCUUCUACA
rnacentral:lncRNA from 10 species